rnacentral:tRNA from 1 species
UUGAUAGAAGCCAAAAUGGAGGCAAAUCACUGUUAACGAUUUAAUUGAAGUUUAAUCCUUCCUAUCAAG